AAAUUAGUAAGAAGGAGGUGGAUAGAAUUAGAGUAGAAGUUAAAGAGAUAGAAAGAGUGCAGGAGGAGUUGUUGGACAAUAUGGCUAUGACGCAAAUGAGGCAAAAUCAAACCAACCUAAAACUGAGGGGUGUACCAGAGACCCCAAAUGAGAAUAUUAGAUCUAAAAUGAUAAAAGAGCUGGCAACUUGGUUAAAUAAGAGCGAGGAGGAGGUAAACUGCCAUUUAGUAAAUAUUUUUCGAAUAAGACCAAAAUCAGACAGAGCCAGAAAGAAAAAGCUGCCAGGUGAUGUAAUUGUCAUGUUCAACACUUUGGAAAUAAGAAAUGAAAUACUGCAACAGAACCACAUAAAAAGGUUAUAUAUUGGAGGAAGCCCAAUUAUUAUCUUUAGAGAAAUUCCUUCGAGAUUUCUUCGAAGGAGAGAGCCAUACAAAAAAUUAACAAACCAAUUGAAGAAGAAUGGGAUAUUGUAUAGAUGGGAGUUUCCCGAAGGCAUUUCAUUCUACUUUAAGGAAAAAAGGUUUAAAUUAAGCACCAGUUUUGAACUCCAAAAAUUUGCGAGGAGAUACGAGAAGGACCUGGGAAAAGUUGAAGGGGAGGUGGAAAGGGAGGAACGACAGAGAGACGAGGAGGGUGAAGGGAGUGAAGAAGAAGAAAAAGAGGAGAGCUUAACAGGAGAAGGAGAAGAACAAGAGGAGGAAAGCAAGGAACAGUAGUCUCUAUUUAAUCUAGUUAAAUUAGCUAGAAUAGUUUAAUAGAUGGCUUUAAAAACAAUAAGCUGGAAUGUCAAUGGUUUGAACAAUAAAAAUAAGAGGAAUCAGAUUGCACAUGUAUUGUUGAAAAAGAAUUGGGAUUUAAUUUGUCUUCAAGAAACGCAUGUUAUAGGAAAACACAAGAGAGUAUUAAGUAAUAAGAGAUUGGGAUUGGACUUUGUGACCUCCGACAAGGUUAAGAAAAGAGGGGUAGUAAUUUAUAUAAAGGAAAAAUAUGACCCGCAACUACUGUAUAAAGAUGAACAUGGGAGAGUAGUGGUGGUACAGAUGGUGUUUCAUGGAGAAAAAUAGUUGUGGUUGGAAUAUACGCCCGAAUGAGAAAAAAUCAGCUUUCUUUUUGGAAUUAGAUAAUAUACUAAUGGAAUGGAUGGACCAGAAAAUGAUAUUGAUGGGAGAUUUUAAUGGGGUGGUGACGCCGAAUAUGGAUAGAUUAACAAAAAGACAAGAUGGGAAAGAAGGUAAACUACCACGAUCUUUCUUCGACAUGGUAAAUAAUUUGGGAUUGACGGAUGUUUGGAGGUUUAAAAACCCUACUGCAAAACAAUUCACCUUUUUUUCAAAUCCGAAUCAGAGCUGGGGGAGGAUAGACAGUAUUUGGGUCUCGAGGGAAUUGGUACAGAAUUUAAUUAAGUCUGAAAUUUGGCCUCGAACUUUAUCUGAUCAUAGUGCGGUUUCCAUGGAGUUAAAAGGUAGAGAGGUUAAAACAGCCAGAUGGAGAAUGAAUGAAUAUUUAUUCAAUGAUCAAAGGAUAGUAAAUAAGGCUAUAGAAACAAUUGAAGAAUACUUUAGGUGGAAUUUAAAUGGAGAAACUUCCAUAGAGAUGGUGUGGGACGCAGGAAAAGCGGUCAUGAGGGGUUUUUUGAUUCAGAAAAAUACCCAAUUAAGAAAAGAAAAAGAAAAAAAGAAAGAGCAGAUUUUAAUACAGAUUAUGGAAAAUGAAAGAAAAUUAACUGUUAACCCUAGUGAAGAGAGUUUAAAACAGAACUUAAAAAUACUACAAGCUAAAUUUGCUACAAUAAUUAACCAAGAGAUAGAGUGGAAAAUUAAAAGGAUGAAUCAAAAGAACUUUGAGUCCGCAAAUAAGAUAGGGAAAUAUCUAGCGUGGCAGUUGAGAGAAAGGAAGAAGUUGAAUACGAUCAGUAAAAUAAAAGAAGGAGAUAUGAUUAUGGAAGAACCAAAAGAAAUAAAAAGAAUAUUCCAAAGAUAUUAUAAGGAUUUGUACAAAAGAGGAGAGGAAACAGAACAAGAAAUAGAUCAAUUUCUGCAAAAACACCAUCUGGAACAAAUUGUAGAAGAUGAAAGAGCAGCACUAGAUGAGAUAAUAACACAGGAAGAGAUAAAAAGGCUAUUAAAAAGAUGAAAGCUGAGAAGGCGCUGGACCGGACGGCCUUCCGGCCAAAUAUUAUAAAACAUUAAUUAACCAAAUAUCACCAGUGCUGGGAGAGGUUAUGAACAAUAUAUUGAGAGAAGGAAAGAUACCUAAUACCUGGAAGGAAGCCUAUGUUAUAUUGAUCCCUAAAAAAGAGGUGGACACUAUGGAAGUAAAGAACUAUAGGCCAAUCUCAUUAUUAAAUAAUGAUUAUAAGCUAUUUGCAGACAUAAUGGCGGAAAGAUUAAAGAAGGUCUUGAUUAAUAAAAUUCAUGGUGAUCAAACAGGAUUUCUCCCAGGGAGACAAUCACGGGAUAAUGUAAGGAAUUUGAUUGACAUUAUUGAAUACCUGGACAUGAAAAUAGACAGAAAAGCCGCACUGGUUUUCAUAGACGCCGAAAAGGCAUUUGAUAAUGUUUCCUGGAACUUCCUAAAGAAGGCUUUGGAAAGGAUGGGAAUUGGCGAAAAAUUUAGAAGAGGCAUAGAAGCAAUAUACAAAGAACAGAAAGCAAAGCUGGUGAUAAAUAACAAUACAACAGAAUAUUUUAACAUUUAUAAAGGGACCAGACAAGGUUGCCCCCUGUCCCCCUUAUUAUUUAUUGUAAUUUUGGAAGUACUUAAUAAGAGACUGAGGGAGGCAACAGAAGUGAAAGGAAUUAGAGUAGGAAAGAAGGAAUUCAAAAUUAAAGCCUUUGCCGACGAUAUUGUUUUGACUUUGGAAGAUCCACAAGAUAGUGUAAAAGAAGCAUUACAAAAA